GAUGAAGAACGUAGCGAAAUGCGAUAAGUAGUGUGAAUUGCAGAAUUCAGUGAAUCAUCGAAUCUUUGAACGCACAUUGCGCCCCUUGGUAUCCCGAGGGGCAUGCCUGUUCGAGCGUCAUUUCACCACUCAAGCCUGGCUUGGUGUUGGGCGACGUCCCCUUUGGGGACGCGCCUCGAAACGCUCGGCGGCGUGGCACCGGCUUUAAGCGUAGCAGAAUCUUUCGCUUUGGAAGUCGGGGCCCCGUCUGCCGGAAGACCUACUCGCAAGGUUGACCUCGGAUCGGGCAGGGAUACCCGCUGAACUUAAGCAUAUCAAUAAGCGGAGGA
rnacentral:misc_RNA from 1 species